rnacentral:rRNA from 1 species
ACACGCAUGACACACUGCAUAUCAAUAAGCGGAGGAAAAGAAACUAACAAGGAUUCCCUUAGUAACGGCGAGUGAAGCGGGAAGAGCUCAAAUUUGAAGUCUUCAAGGUUCUACCUUGACGAAUUGUAGUUUAUAGAAGUGUUUUCUGUUAGUAGAGUGGCAAAAGUUCUUUGGAAUAGGACAUCAUAGAGGGUGAGAAUCCCGUAUUUGGUCAUUCUUUCUAGCUUUGUGAUACACUUUCAACGAGUCGGAUUGUUUGGGAAUGCAGUCCAAAAUGGGUGGUAAAUUUCAUCUAAAGCUAAAUAUUGGCGAGAGACCGAUAGCGAACAAGUACCGUGAGGGAAAGAUGAAAAGGACUUUGAAAAGAGAGUUAAACAGUACGUGAAAUUGUCAAAAGGGAAGCGUUUGACACCAGUGUUGUUUUUCCGAAAAUCAAUUACGAAUGUUUUAGUUUUUGAGGAGUUAUGACUUCAUCGGCUUGCUUCUCUCUUUAUGAAACUUUCUUAAUGCACUUUUCGGUUAACAAGUCAACAUCAAUUUCUUUUGUUGUAAAAGGGUAUGAGGAAGGUGGCUUUACUUUCGGAGUAAAGUGUUUAUAGCCUUGUACCUCUGCAAUCGGAGAGAUUGAGGUCUGCAGCGUAGAUCCUUCGGGGUUAGAUACAGUUUGUGCUAAGUUAUAGCUUUUCAUAGACAACUUGUUGACUAUGUUUAGUCUUGUAGCUUACUCGCUUAUGGCUAUUUUACCUACGCUUAGGAUGUUGACUGAUAUGUAGUCGUA